AUGAAAGUUUCAAAAUGGAAGUUAGGAAUUCUUUGUUUUAUAAGUGGAUGUGUAAUGUCUGGUCAGGUGGAUGCUUGUAUUCCUGAUAGAGUUCCAAUGGGACUCUUAAUCACAGAUUGCCCUUAUCCACAACUGAAAACUCUUGAGAUGCAGAGGACUCUUGCCCUAAAAAUCAUUCUUUCCUUUUCUUUUUUUCUACCCACAGAAGCCCCAAGACAGCAACCUGCUGAACCUGAACCAGCCCCAAGGCAACAAACUAGGAAAAGUAAAGGAGAACCAGGCGAACCACCUGAAGGAGAACCAGGCGAACCACCUGAAGGAGAACCAGGUCCACCACCUGAAGGUAAGUAAUAUGUCGAUCUCUAAACACUCCUUUCUUUCCCCGUUCCUUGAGGACCCUAGACCUUGUCUCUCAUUUGAAACCAUUUGGCACAUCCACGCUUAAAGUUCAGUACCAAGAAAGAGAGGGUAAUAAUGAACUAAGAGGGUGGUCAGCUUAAAAGGCUUUGUUUUCUCUUGCCAUUGCAUAGCUCUCAUAUUUCCACCAGAGAAUUUCCCAGAUCAAAAAUCCAAAAUGAUUUUGUCAUCUUUUCCCAAAGCAUAGUUUGCUUUUUUCCAUUGCCUAAUAUCCUAGAUCAAACAUUUCAAGAUCACAUUGUAAUAUGUAAUGCAAUGUUCUCUUCAUGUCUCUGCAGUGUGGGUAUUUCUCUCUCUCUUUCUCUGUGUUUUCACAGUCCCUCUGUGUCUGGUCUUUCUCUGAAUCGAUAUCUUUAUCUCUCUGUCUCUGUCUCGUUUUUUCUCUGCCUUUCUCUCCCUCUGUCUCUCUCUUUUCACACACACACACACACACACACACACACACACCAUACACACACACACAUU
rnacentral:lncRNA from 1 species